GCAACCUUCACAGGCUGAUAGAGAUUGAGUGAUAACAGACACUGGAGACCCUCCAAGCGAUGGCUGGUGACCGCCUGCCACCAUCCACAGGCUGUCACACAAGGAGCCCUGGGAGUAACCUUGCUGGAAGCCCCGCGGGCCGCAGUGUGUGGCUGGCGUUAUACAGCCCCCAGCCAUUGCCUGGAGGGCAUCCAGUGUCUGUUAUCACUCACCUUAGGUAGUCUGUGAAGGUCCAGUCAUCACUGGUGCACGUGUAUCUUACCUGUGAUCAACACCGGCAGCCACAGACUCCUGCCCAAGGAACGAACACAGUGAUCGUGAUGACAUUGACAACAACGAGCAAGUCCUCCUAGACCUAGAGUGACCUCAAGCUGGGCCAAACAUGAUGUGGAAGAAGAAAUCAGUUGUCUCCAUCAGUCAGGUUUGUGCCAUGGCAGCUUUCUCCAGCUGUCCAGCAGAGGUCCAGUCCAUGCCAUGAUGAAAUUCAGCCCCCAACAAUGAGAUGGCAUGCCAGAGAUGGAUCCGCAGCUUCUCCUCCAAUCAAUCAAUCCUUGCAAUGCCUUUUCUCUUUUCUCUCCUUCUGUACCACCAUGCUUACACAUAACUGAUCCAAGGUACUGAAACUCAUUACCCUCCUCCAUUUCUUCACCAUUCAAAAUUAUUUGGCAUUCUUUUUCACAUUCAAUGCCCACUCUAUAUGGGCAUACAAACUCUACAACCUCCCUUCUACUCCGCUCACAAACCAUCACUUUACUUUUGUUGACAUUUACUUUCAACUUUCUCCUUUUACAUACACUAUCAAAAACACUGACCAAAUUUUGUAAGUCACUUUCAUUUUCUGCAAUGAGCACCGUGUCAUCAGCAAAGAAGAUUGAAUUCAUCACCCACUUCCUUCCCUCCCUCAGCAUACAUUUUUACUUCAAUUUCCCCAACUUUGCCCUUCAUUUCUCAUAACACCAUCCAUAUAAAUAUUGAACAACCACGAUGACAUGACACACCCCUGCCUUAGCCCACUUUCAUCUCAAAAUGUUCACUUGUUUCUCCGCUAAUUUUGACACAUGCAGAUGCAUCCUCAUAGAAAGACUUUAUUGCAUAAAGCAGUUUUCCUCCCACACCAUAUAUCUUUAAGACGUCCCACAAUGCCAGCCAAUCGACUCUGUCAUAAACUUUCUUUAGAAUAACUAGAUCCAUGAAGGCAGCAUAGUAUUUUUUCCUUUUGCUAAUAUUUUUUCUAAUAAAACACCAUCCUGAAGGAAAAUAUCUGAUCCACACAUCCUCUUCCCUUCCUAAAGUCUCCUUGUUCUUCACUGAUUUUCUCUUCUGUAAGUCUUUGCGCAGUCUCAAUUAGGACUUUUCCAUAUACCUUUCCGGGUAGCCUACACUCAGCAGACUUUUACCCCUACAACUCCCACCUCCCCUCUCCUGCCCUUCCCCUUGUAAACUGGGACCAUGAUGGCUUUUAUCAAGUCUGCUGGGACCUCCCACCCCCCCUUCCCAGGCCACUUCACAUAUCUUGACCAUUCAUAUAGUAACUUCAUCUCCACACUUCAACAUUUCUGCUGU